GCCUUACUUCCACGACCAACUUCUGCACUCUGCCCCGAAGGCCACGAUCGUCAGUCUGUUCCUUCCACACGGUCAUAUUCGAGAAGGGAAGUGGAAAGAAGGGACUAGGGUUCACUAUUGUUGGGGGUCGCGAUUCCCCACGCGGGGCCCUCAGCAUCUUCGUAAAAAGUAUCCUGCCAGGUGGACAGGCAGCAGAGGACGGCCGCCUCAGAGCAGGAGACGAGCUGCUGGCUGUGAACGGUCAGGUGUGCCACGACCUGACACACUCCGAGGCAGUCGCGCUCUUCAAGAAGAUCAAGUCUGGUCCUGUUGCACUCCACAUCUGUCGCAGGAUUCGAACCAAAGACUCGUCGACAAAAGCGAAAUCCUGCACAGACCUGAUUCAGGGCGUGGGAUCUGAGGGAUGACGUGCCGUGUAGCAGUGGUGACAACCCGCUGAACUUCCUGACGGCAGCUCGGUAACUUCCGAGAUUUACCUCCCAGUUCAAAGAGGAGCUCAAGGUCACUGCCGAAGCUCGAAUUUCAAAUGUGAAGGCCACUCCCUUUAUGCGGGUCUUGGAGCCCCUAGGUGGCAGAUGAGAGCCCAGGCAAGUGUUUACACGUGGCAAAUAUAAAACGGCCGAUACAUUUGGUCGACAUUCUUGUUAAAAAGAAACGUCUCGCCUAGUUCGUGACUCGGGCGAAGCCACCCAAGUACUGUACGACGCAUCUUAGUUACCACUGGACGCUGCUCCGAUGCACAUUGUAAAUACGCUCUAUCAUACGCAAUAAAGAAACUUUGUACCCGCCACAAAA